rnacentral:siRNA from 1 species
ACCGACGACUUCUAAACUUCGCCU